rnacentral:tRNA from 1 species
GCGGGCAUCCGUAUAAUGGCUAUUACCUCAGCCUUCCAAGCUGAUGAUGCGGGUUCGAUUCCCGCUGCCCGCUCCA